rnacentral:lncRNA from 12 species
CAAAAGAUAAGAAGUGUGACGGUGGCCGUGACCACCAUAAUUACAGAUGUGGGAAGUUGACUUCCUAAGAUCCCAGACACCAGUGGAGAACAGAGUGGCCUGGAGGCCGAGGCAAUUCCUAGCUAGCUAUCUGAGUCUUGGCCUUCAUUCCAGAGAAUCUGGGAGUCCAGCCAUGUCAGAUGCCAUAAAGGGUCAUGGACUUCUGGCUGCUUGUACUCACAUCCCUGGAUAUCUGAGACUUCCUUCUCAUCUUUUAAAAUGUUCACUGUGAAGCCCUUCUUGAUCCAGCUCAGGUGUGUUGGCUGACCCCUUCUCUAUGUGAAUAAAUUUUAACAGCAACUGUGGCUAUUUAGAUAA